AGAGUUGAACCUUCAGAUAGUACACUAUCUCAUGCAAUUGUUAGGCAGAGAGAAAGUUCAGUGAGUCAUUUUGCAGGAAAACAAUACAUGAAUGCAGCAGGGCCAGAGAUGGAAGAUGUGAAGGGAUGGGACUGUGAAGCAGUGAUAGAGUAAUUAGCUUGCCUCAAAUCACACAAGUAUAUGGCAGAAUCAAGGACUGAACCCACUGACUGUUCAUUCCUCUGCCCCAUCGUAUGGCCACCCUCCUCUACAUUAAUGUCUCUGCUUGAACCAAGUAGCCUGGCAAUCAGCUGAAAAUGUCUCUGCUAUAUGAACUAGACUUUUCUCUCUUUCCUCCAUUUAGGAACUUAAUUACACUAUUUAUUGAAUGAGGUAUUUGCACAUGAAAGCCAGUGAUUUGGAUCAGCUCCUGUCUAACAAA